UUAAAGGAAGCAAGAAAGGGAAGACGUGGAGGACGUGUCCUCCGACUUCGCCUUUGCACGACUAGACGAGGGAUAGGAGGGUGAGGCUUCCAUCCGGAGGCGAGGAGACAAGGGACAAGAGCGCAAGUCCGUUGCGGCGGAUUACAAGGCUAUUAUUAGACCCCUCAAUAAUUGUUUACACGCAUAUUAAAAGCGAGUAAAACAA